GACGUAGGGGGCGAGCGUUGUUCGGAAUUACUGGGCGUAAAGGGCGCGUAGGCGGCCUUCUAAGUCGAACGUGAAAUCCCUGGGCUUAACCCAGGAACUGCGUCCGAGACUGGGAGGCUUGAAUCCGGGAGAGGGAUGCGGAAUUCCAGGUGUAGCGGUGAAAUGCGUAGAUAUCUGGAGGAACACCGGUGGCGAAAGCGACUGUCUGGGGUGCAUGUGACGCUGAGGCGCGAAAGCCAGGGGAGCGAACGGG
rnacentral:rRNA from 1 species